rnacentral:misc_RNA from 1 species
GACUCUCGGCAACGGAUAUCUUGGCUCUCGCAUCGAUGAAGAAGGUAGCGAAAUGCGAUACUUGGUGUGAAUUGCAAAAUCCCGUGAAUCAUCGAGUCUUUGAACGCAAGUUGCGCCCUAGGCCGUCAGGCCGAGGGCACGCCUGCCUGGGCGUCACGCACCGAGUCGCCCCCAUGCCCCUGCCCUUUGUACAAUUCAGAGGGCCGGGGCGUCGGGAGCGGAGAAUGGCCCCCCGUGCCCCCGUGCGCGGCCGGCCCAAAUCGAGGCCCCCCGGAGGCCGACGUCACGAUCCGUGGUGGUUGUAAAAGACGCGCCCUAAAAACCGGAUCACGUGCAUGUCGCGCCGCUCCCCGGGAGGCCACAGCGACCCCCAAGGGCCGUCCCAGGACGGCACCCACUCU